UCUUGUCUGUCUACGAGCUUCAUCAAACUCUGAAGAUCUCUUUGAAAGCUGUGAAGAUUCUCUUUGCUAGUCAACUCUUCUACCAAUGGAGAAAAGGACCUUUCAAGUCUGAUCAGCUCAGCUAGCUCUGUUUUGUCUGUCCUAUCUUGAGAACGUGGGUCUUCAGUUUUGUUAGCUGAAUAAGGAAAGUCCACUCUGCAGUAGUCAAAGUACCUGAAACUCUUUCCUAGUUUUGGAUACAACCAAACUGCAUCAAGACAGACUGCUAGGAGACAAAAGGUUAUCAACUCCAACG
rnacentral:lncRNA from 1 species